rnacentral:rRNA from 1 species
GGAAUAUUGCCCAAUGGGGGAAACCCUGAGGCAGCAACGCCGCGUGAACGAUGAAGGCCUUCGGGUCGUAAAGUUCUUUUCUGGAGGAAGAUGGUGACGGUACUCCAGGCAUAAGUCCCGGAUAACUACGUGCCAGCAGCCGCGGUAAAACGUAGGGGGCGAGCGUUAUCCGGAUUUACUGGGCGUAAAGCGCACGUAGGCAGUCUGGCAAGUUGGACGUGAAAUCUCCCGGCUUAACUGGGAGAGGCCGUUCAAAACUGCCGGACUUGAGGUUGGAAGAGGAGAGCGGAAUUCCCGGUGUAGUGGUGGAAUGCGUAGAUAUCGGGAGGAACACCAGUGGCGAAAGCGGCUCUCUGGUCCAGACCUGACGCUGAGGUGCGAAAGCGUGGGGAGCGAAC